rnacentral:lncRNA from 1 species
AAAGCUUUAUAUUUAUGUUGUAUUGGUUGCCAAGAAGUACUGAGUAUGGUGUUUCCUAUUUUACAGGUUACCUAUACAAAUAACACAUUUUAAGAAGUUAAACUCCAAGGAACCAUUAGGAGGAAAUACGAAAAGAAUUCAAACGUGACUCAGGAUAACAUGGACUGAAAGAUAAAUGUAUGCAUAAAUGAUAUGAACAAGGAAUUAAUACAUUUGAUCGUUGGCCUCAUGCAGUUCUGGAUGCAAAGCUCAGGAGGCCAGAUGAUGACUAUGAGAUUGUUUUUUAACUUGCUUCUGAAUCCCUAAAGAAUACGGAGCCUCCUGCAGGACAGCCCUUUUUAUAUGCCAAAAAGUACUAAAAAGUAAGCUGCAUUUUAACAAGAUUUCUGUUUUUAAACAAAUGAAGAUGUACC